rfam:Tannerella forsythia 92A2, complete genome.
AGCCGCAUUGUUAGAUUGGGAAACUCAUCAGAUAAAAUACAAUUCCGAGACACGCUCUUGGCGCUGAUGGCGGGCUGCAAUUCCUUGUGAAUGCUUCGGCACAGCAGAUUACAAAGGCGUCAAAGGCACUCAAAACCUGUCAUACGGAGUUUGUUCAUAUCGGCAGUGCGGCCUCCCAU